AGCAGCCGCGGUAAUUCCAGCUCCAAUAGCGUAUAUUAAAGUUGUUGCAGUUAAAAAGCUCGUAGUUGAAUUUCGGGAUCAGUAUGUCGGUCGUGCUUCGGUACGUACUGUCAUUACUGGUUUCUACCUUCUGAAGAACCAUGAUGUCAUUAAUUUGGUGUCAUGGGGAAUCAGGACUGUUACUUUGAAAAAUUAGAGUGUUUAAAGCAGGCUCGCGCUUGAAUACAUUAGCAUGGAAUAAUGAAAUAGGACGUUUGAUUCUAUUUUGUUGGUUUCUAGGAUCGACGUAAUGAUUAAUAGGGAUAGUUGGGGGCAUUAGUAUUCAAUUGUCAGAGGUGAAAUUCUUGGAUUUAUUGAAGACUAACUACUGCGAAAGCAUUUGCCAAGGAUGUUUUCAUUAAUCAAGAACGAAAGUUAGGGGAUCGAAGACGAUCAGAUACCGUCGUAGUCUUAACCAUAAACUAUGCCGACUAGGGAUCGGAUGAUGUUAUUUUAAUGACUCAUUCC
rnacentral:sRNA from 1 species